ensembl:lncRNA
GUGGGUACAACACCAGAUGACAUUUCCACCCCCAUUGACGACAGCCCUCACCUAGCUAUCAAGGCAUGCAGGGCUGACUUUUCACCUUCAGCCUGCUCCAGGAAAUGGCCAGAUGGCAUUCAGGCUGAUUCUGUGCUUCUGGCUGACUAAUCUCUCCAGGUACAAAAGUAAACAUGGAGCUUGGGGACACCAUAUGUCCCUGACUCAUAGAGCUUGCAGGAGUCACCAUCAUUCUAUGUGGCAUCUGCUUUCCUGGGCCAAGGCGGGAGGUAGGUCAAUGUAAUGGAGGAAACGUGUUUUAAAAUACAAGGAAGAGUGACCCGAAGCAUAAAGAGGAAGUGUGCACCUGGUUGUUCAAUACUAGAUGACAUUUAUUUUUCAAAUGUGCUCUGUCUCGCUAGACAGUGUUCGACUUCCUUCACUCCUGCCACAUGGGGCUGGCCACUGUCUACAUUCAAGGGGUGUGAACUGAAUGGAGGGGUUGUAUUCUUCAUCCAUUUUCUCCAUUGGACUGUCUUGAAUUUUCCCCUAAGGUGAAAAUGAAGCAGACCCUCGCUGAGUUUAAAGGAGAUCUGACUGACAUUGGGAAGUGGCAUCCAAUAAGAUGCGUGUUUCUUCUGUCCGCUCCAGGAUGUGUCAACAGGAGAACUGAAAGCUGAAGGUGAGAGUGAAGUUUGAUUGAAGGAGAAGAGUUGGUUCAGAAGCUCAGUGAGGUCACUGCUGCUGGGGAGAGGCAGAGGGGCGCACACCAGUCACUGCUGCAAAGGGGGAUGUCUUCGAGGCAAGGGUGCUUUGAAAGGAAAUGGUUUUGAAAAGCUUCUGCUAACCUUACCCACACACGUGAAUGUCCCAGAGUCACGGCCUCCUGCUUCACUUCGCCCUGGAACAUCAUAUGUGAAUUCUCUUCUGCCUGCAUCAGCCUCUCCAUGUGCAGAUCCGUCUCAAGAGACCCCUUCAGCCGAUGCCCUCUGUGCCCCCGACACAGCCCCUUGGCCCUUGCCUUCCACACACCCGCUGCACCAGCUUCCUCCUGGCAGCACCUUCCUUUCUGCUUGAGGCUUUCCCAGGCCUCCUGCCUCUGAGAAAGUCAGAAGUUGAAGCCUCCUUGAGAGCCCGUGAGAGCUCCCUCUCCCCUGGGCAAGCGGUGCUGAUGCGUGAUCUCCGAAUCCGUCCACCAAACAGCCACUGCAGGACUGAGCUCCAGCGGCCACCAUGGAGGCAGCAGGAAAGAGAGCGCUGCUGUAUCGGGUGUGCACACCCACAGGAGCACCUGUAAACCAUGAACACACCCACAUGAGCCAGGUUGCUUUGAAUGUGGAAGCUUCCCCUCCCCAGUGUGGGCUCCUGCUCCCCGUCACGCUUAGUCUACCAGACGCUGCAGAGAGAACGUUCCGUAAGUGUAUGAGGCUGAACCUCUGCUUCUCAGGCCACUUCCAAUGGGCCUAGAGUUCUUCAGGUGCAGUUCAGUGCUGUUAAACUUGGGGUGAAAUAACUGUGGCACUGCUUCAGAGCCAACUGGCCUCUAACACAAACCAGCCCAUGUAAAUGGCGGGUACAGGCCCUGAACGAAGGCCAGUGCGCUGGGAACCAAGUCUGACCUCCUUAGCAGG